AGUAGGUUUUAUAUAUCCAGACGGAUAGAUGGCGAGUCUUCGUUUAAUUCUCUGCUUUGCUGUUAUGACCCUGAUUGGGGAUACCGAUGCUCAUGGGCGCUUGAUGAAGCCAUGUCAAAGAGGCUCUCUGUGGAGGUGUUAUGAUCAAAACCAAUUCGCGUCAAAUUUCGAUGAUAUGGGCAACUUUUGCGGUGGAACGCAAGUACAAUGGAAUAGAAACGGAGGGAAAUGUGGGGUAUGUGGCGACGCAUACGAUUCUAGUUUCAAACGCCAUGAGGUAGGCGGUCCCUUUGCAACUGGAUUUAUAACAGAGACCUACAGCCAGGGACAGCAAAUUGAUGUAAUGGUACAACUGACUGCUGCACAUCUCGGAAAGUUCAUCUUCAGAGUGUGUAAACAAGUUGACGAUACCAAAGAGGUGACCCAAGAAUGCUUGGAUCAAAACCAAUUAAAGGUGAUAGAAAAUGGCGUUGCAAAAGAUUACUAUGAGUCUAAAGAAACUGGUGCAGCUAAGGUGAACUUGAAGGUCCAGCUUCCCCCUGAUAUGGUUUGCGAUCAUUGCGUGUUCCAAUGGUGGUACAAAACAGGUAGUGCAAUAUAUCUAUGGUACAUGUAGAUCAGUGCUGUGUGUAUGAUUCUAAACACUUUUGUCGAAUCCUAUAUAAUAUUGAAUAGUUUUAUCUUUUUCUUUUUUUUAAAUUGUACAACAAACAUUGACUCCAACAAAACGUAUAUUACACAAAAGGGAAAAGAAUUGUCGUUAGAAAGUACAUAUAUUGAAAAUGACUUUCCCAGCUAAAAAUAGGAAUUUUAUAUACUGUGAAGUCAUUAAAUUUCGUGUGGGCCAAUUUUCGUGGAUUGCUUAAAUUUUACAGGUUCGUGGGGACGUACUUUCGUGCAUUCUCAUAAACCUACAAAAGAAAUAUGAUUUAAAUACCAUCAUUUAUUAAUUCAUGGAGGAUGUUAAUUCGCGGAUGAGAGGUACCCACGAAUUCCACGAAAAUUGAGCCACCACGAAAUCUAAUGAUUCCACAGUAAGUGAAUGGCUAAAAAUGUUUCUUUUGUAACGUAAGGCAACAGUUGGGGACAAUUUCCAGGACAGCCUGGAUGCAAAGGUUGUGGUCCACAGGAAACAUUCGUGAAUUGCGCCGACAUCAAAAUCACGCCGAGUGACGGGAAUCCGCAGCCAGCAACAAAAGCUCCGGUAACAAUGCAACCUGCUACUCAAGCCCCAGCAACAUGGCAACCUGCAACUCAGGCCCCAGCAACAUGGCAACCUGCAACUCAGGCCCCAGCGACAUGGCGACCUGUAACACAAGCUCCAAUAACCCAGGCUCCUCGCACGACUCCAAGGGUAUCCCCCGGGGGUAUUGUCACAUCCUGCACUGCCGGACAGUACCUCUCUUGUACGGCCGCAGGUGUGUUUGCAGGAAAUAGGGGAUAUGAUACAUGGUGUGACCAAUAUUGCAGGGCCAACUCGCCUAACUGUAAGCCUCUGUUCUGUUCCUGUACUUGCAAAUAUUCACGCUCUAGUGGAUCUGGAGGUUCCGGUCAAUGUCUUUUAGGACCAGCCCUCUGCAAUUUCCUCAUGCAAGACAAUGCCUAUGUUGAUGCCGUAAAACUUGUCUGUGACUGCAAUUAGUAAUACUAUGAUAGAAACACUCUGAACUUUGAUCAAAGCUUCAAAUGAACAGACACUUUAAACUUUGAACACAUCUUUAAGUGAGCAAUCUUUUCUACAGUCUUUUCUAAUUAAAAUUAGUAAACUUGC
rnacentral:misc_RNA from 1 species